rnacentral:rRNA from 1 species
GGCGAACGCUGGCGGCGUGCCUAAUACAUGCAAGUCGAGCGAAGUUUUUCUGGUGCUUGCACCGGAAAAACUUAGCGGCGAACGGGUGAGUAACACGUAAAGAACCUGCCUCAUAGACUGGGACAACUAUUGGAAACGAUAGCUAAUACCGGAUAAUAGCAUUAACUGCAUGGUUGAUGUUUAAAAGUUGGUUUUGCUAACACUAUGAGAUGGCUUUGCGGUGCAUUAGCUAGUUGGUGGGGUAAAGGCCUACCAAGGCGACGAUGCAUAGCCGACCUGAGAGGGUGAUCGGCCACACUGGGACUGAGACACGGCCCAGACUCCUACGGGAGGCAGCAGUAGGGAAUCUUCCGCAAAGGGCGAAAGCCUGACGGAGCAACGCCGCGUGAGUGAAGAAGGAUUUCGGUUCGUAAAGCUCUGUUGUUAGGGAAGAAUGAUUGUGUAGUAACUAUACACAGUAGAGACGGUACCUAACCAGAAAGCCACGGCUAACUACGUG